rnacentral:rRNA from 1 species
UACAGAGGGUGCGAGCGUUAAUCGGAAUUACUGGGCGUAAAGGGUGCGUAGGCGGUUAUGUAAGUUAGAUGUGAAAUUCCUGGGCUUAACCUGGGGACUGCGUCUGAUACUGUGUAGCUAGAGUACUGUAGAGGAAGGUGGAAUUUCCGGUGUAGCGGUGAAAUGCGUAGAUAUCGGAAGGAACAUCGGUGGCGAAGGCGACCUUCUGGACAGAUACUGACGCUGAGGCACGAAAGCGUGGGGAGCAAACAGG